rnacentral:lncRNA from 1 species
AUCGUCUAUGUAACUGAUGAAAGUGUUAAAGAGUACUGGUCCCAAGAUGGACCCAAGAGGGAUACCACUUGUUACUUGCCUCUAUCUGGACAUAAAGCCAUUGACCACAUCCCUUCAAACCUAUAUGUCUCUAAUUUAGAAAUAAAGAUGUGGUGUGGGACUGUGUCACUCAUAGCUUCCAGAAUUUUUAAGGCCAUGUCUUUCUAGAGCUGUUCAUCAUCCAGACUAACCUCUUGUUACAGAGAUGUUGUGUGAAUCUACAUAAGUUGUUUAAGAUUAAUAUUAAAUGUGAUAAAUUCUUUGUUCUUCAUUGAAUAUGUGGCUAAUUUAGUCUUUAUUUUCAGAAUUUUAGAGCUCUUAGCGAAGUACUGUACCUUUUGGGUGGUUCUCAAGGGACUGAAUGUGUUCAGCAUCUUUUGAAAUAAAUCAGUGGGAUCUGAAACACUGAACCUCAGAUUGGGAGUCUCCCAAAACCCUGAAUUAUGAAUUAUGAACCCACCAUUAGCACCCUCUCCAGCAUUUGUCGGCACUUAGACUUGCAGUGAUCUUCCAGCCUAUCAGGUACAGAGUACUUCAUUAUGUGCACGAACAAAAAUGCUUAAAUGGAUGAAGCAGCUAUUUACGUAUGAUAGGAGCUAAGUGGGACAUUAAAUUAAUGCCAAACAAAGAGCCAAGUGAAUUGUUAUCUGUCACAGCAUCCCAAUGUUCAUCUCUUAAUACUUGUGGGUGUGAUACAAACCACCUAGAAGAGAUUAACUGUGUCUUUCACUGCCCAGACUAGACUGUUUCCUGUGUUCCAUCAGUGCAGUUCUGCUGCUGCACAUUUUGGUUUGGUAAGUGCUAAGACAAAGAUUAUUUCCUAGUGAUUUUACAAUGCUUACUGAUCUAUAGAGACACAAUAGAGUAAACAACAGUUAACAAAUUGCUCUAAUAGACAGCACAGUCCCUUAGGAGACAAUCAUAGCAUCGACAUCAAGGUUGAGGUAUUCUCUCUCCAGGGCAGCAUUAACAGUAAUUUUAUCGCUGAGUGUGUGUAUAAUUCUGCAACACCAGUCCCAAGCUGGGAGGUUCUCCAGGUCAGAGGUUAAUAAUAGGCAAAACCACUUCACUGUUAUGCUCAUAGGCUAUUGAAAACAAAGAGGAAACCAGUCUGUCUUAAACUUCCAACUGAAAGUCCCAGUAAUAAAAUCACUUACACAUAGCA